AGCCCCGUACACAAAAGCGCAUGUGUUGUGAGCUCGAUGAGUAGGGCGGGACACGUGGUAUCCUGUCUGAAUAUGGGGGGACCAUCCUCCAAGGCUAAAUACUCCUGACUGACCGAUAGUGAACCAGUACCGUGAGGGAAAGGCGAAAAGAACCCCGGCGAGGGGAGUGAAAAAGAACCUGAAACCGUGUACGUACAAGCAGUGGGAGCACCCUUCGGGGUGUGACUGCGUACCUUUUGUAUAAUGGGUCAGCGACUUAUAUUCUGUAGCAAGGUUAACCGAAUAGGGGAGCCGGAGGGAAACCGAGUCUUAAUUGGGCGUUAAGUUGCAGGGUAUAGACCCGAAACCCGGUGAUCUAGCCAUGGGCAGGUUGAAGGUUGGGUAACACUAACUGGAGGACCGAACCGACUAAUGUUGAAAAAUUAGCGGAUGACCUGUGGCUGGGGGUGAAAGGCCAAUCAAACCGGGAGAUAGCUGGUUCUCCCCGAAAGCUAUUUAGGUAGCGCCUCGUGAAUUCAUCUCCGGGGGUAGAGCACUGUUUCGGCUAGGGGGCCAUCCCGGCUUACCAACCCGAUGCAAACUGCGAAUACCGGAGAAUGUUAUCACGGGAGACACACGGCGGGUGCUAACGUCCGUCGUGAAGAGGGAAACAACCCAGACCGCCAGCUAAGGUCCCAAAGUCAUGGUUAAGUGGGAAACGAUGUGGGAAGGCCCAGACAGCCAGGAUGUUGGCUUAGAAGCAGCCAUCAUUUAAAGAAAGCGUAAUAGCUCACUGGUCGAGUCGGCCUGCGCGGAAGAUGUAACGGGGCUAAACCAU
rnacentral:rRNA from 1 species